AACGAACGCUGGCGGCAGGCUUAACACAUGCAAGUCGAACGGGUGUAGCAAUACAUCAGUGGCAGACGGGUGAGUAACACGUGGGAACCUUCCUAGGGGUACGGAACAACUCAGGGAAACUUGAGCUAAUACCGUAUACGUCCGUAAGGAGAAAGAUUCAUCGCCCUAGACGGGCCCGCGUCGAUUAGGUAGUUGGUGGGUAACGGCCUACCAAGCCUACGAUCCGUAGCUGAUCUGAGAGGAUGAUCAGCCACACUGGGACUGAGACACGGCCCAGACUCCUACGGGAGGCAGCAGUGGGGAAUCUUGGACAAUGGGCGCAAGCCUGAUCCAGCCAAUGCCGCGUGAGUGAAGAAGGCCUUAGGGUUGUAAAGCUCUUUUACCAGGGACGAUAAU
rnacentral:rRNA from 1 species